UACGUAGGGUGCAAGCGUUGUCCGGAAUUAUUGGGCGUAAAGAGCUCGUAGGCGGUUCGUCGCGUCGGGAGUGAAAGCCCGCUGCUUAACGGCGGGUUGGCUUCCGGUACGGGCAUCGCUGGAGUGCGGCAGGGGAGACUGGAAUUCCUGGUGUAGCGGUGGAAUGCGCAGAUAUCAGGAGGAACACCGGUGGCGAAGGCGGGUCUCUGGGCCGUUACUGACGCUGAGGAGCGAAAGCGUGGGGAGCGAACAGU
rnacentral:rRNA from 1 species